CCACCUGCUCUCGGGGGCCGCCUCCCCGGAAGCAGCGCCCCACGCAGUCUCUCCCGGCAGCCAAAUGGGCGACUCCUCUCCUCUGAGCCCGAGCUUCUGAAAGGUGCGUCCUUUCCGUCACCGCCCCAGCCGGCCUUGCGGGCACUGCAGGGCGUCCCUGCAGCCAAGCCAGCCUCCCGGGCUCAGCCCCUCGCCUCCAGCGGGCGCCGCGAACUGCGCAGGCGGGUGCGACCCGCUCGCUCUCCCACCUGCUUGCUCACGUGGCCACCUGGGCGACCCCGCCGCAUCCUGCCCGCCGCCCCCCACCCCCAUCAAGGCACCAUGGUCUGGUGCCUCGGUCACUCCUGCAGCCGGUUACAGACAUUUGAUAUUUUGGUUGCAUUUUCCUAUUAACAGAAAACAAAGUUACUGAAAACUCAGACUUUACAGAAAUGCACAAAUUAGAAUGGAAGGAAUCACCAAAGCCCCACCUCCAGAUAAACUUGUACAGACGCCAAUCUGGUAAAUCGUCAUUGCUUAUUUUGAAAAUAAAUGGUUUUACACUUUGCUGGGACUGUGGUGACAGCACCACAAAAUUGGUGGCUUAAAGUAACAGAAAUUUUUCUCUCAGUUCUGGAGGCCGGAAGUUCUAAGCCAGGGUGUGGUGGGUGUGGCAGCUUUGAGGAAAGAGUCCACCCCCCCACCUGCCGCCAACCCCACCUGCCGGCCCCCUCCCCUGUCUCUCCUCUCCCCUCUCCUCAGAGGAUACUUGUCAGGGCCUGCCUUGUCUGGGGCGACCUCUUCUCAGGCCUUCACUUCAUGCUCUCUGCAAAGACCCUAUUUCCAAACAAGGUUUGGUUCCCAGGCCUGGGGAUUCAGGUUGGACAUUGCCUUUGGGGCCAGCAUUCAGCCCCUGCACACACUGGGCAGAAGGACAGGCACCUUUGCCCACUAGGAAUACAUUUUGGACAGUUUUUGUGCCAAUACCUGUAUUUUCACCAUAUUUCUUUCCUGAACACCCCUCCCCAGUCUGGACGCCCCCUUCGCAUGGGUGGAUGAGGCUGAAUCGACCACUGUGACAGGUGACUGCCGUCAGGGCUCUAGUCUACAAUUCUCCAUGAACCUGGGGGUGCUGCUUCAGAAAGAGCCUAAAAAGUGUGUCCACUGGAUCAAAGGGCACCCGUGUCCACAGAUUCAGCAGUUACUGAGCAGAAAUCCUGCACUCAGCUUCUGGCUCCUCUUUGACUCCAGAGAGAGGCGUUGCCAUUUCCAGGUGGAAGUACCCUUUUUCUCCUGGUUCGGGUGCAACGUGUUCAAGAAAGUCUCGGGUCCUGUUUCUUCUCCCGAUGCCCUGCUGGCUGGGCGGUCUUAGCCCCUCUCCUGGGAGCUCCUGGAUCGUGUGCCGGGCUCCACUGUUGAGACCCAAGGACAGAGUGGGCUCAUCCCACUAGAACGACCGCAAAGAAGAACACUCCUUCCCUGCAUCGGCGGCUUCGUGUCACAGGGGGCUUCAAACGGAAGAGGAGGAGGAGCCCACGCACAUACACGCAGGUGCACCACACGCAUGCACACGCGUGCACACAGACGCCAGACUCUUCCAGCCGGAGCUACAGGACUUUGCGGACCUGGGCACGCAGCCCAUCCCUCUGCCCGUCCCUCUUUCCUCGGCCAGCAAGUCCCUGCAGGGCUGCACCUCUGUGGACGACAGUGGCCACCCAAGCCAGGUCCUAGCUCUGUCCUGCGUCCCAGCCUUCUUAUUUUCAGGCUCAUUGCGCCUUCCAGAAGGAACGUCCAUACGCUCCAGCCCUGACGGAACUCUCAGACAUCCAGCCCUCGUUUGAGCCCCGCUCAGGACAGGUGAGGCCCCCGCCACCAGGCAGCACUCCGGGCCUUCCAGCCUUGCAGCCGCUGCGAGCUGCUUCCUUCGAGAGUUUCUGAGCAGGUGUUGUGAAAAUAAUGAUUAUGUGGUUUGGCAGAUUCGAUCUCUGCAGCUAAUUGUUGACACUGAGUUUGUAUUACCCAAUACUUUGGGGUGGGGGACAAAAUAAUGCUAUUUUCUAGCCAGUAAGCCAGCAACUACGUGUAAAGUCUUCGUCCUCUGGGUGGGGCAUAUGUUUUUCCAAGAAUCAAUUUUAAAAACAGGAUUGGCAGGUGCUGGCCACCUCCAACGAGCUCAAAAUGCAGAUCAAAACAACUGCAGGGCCAGCCUAGUCAGGCACUGACCUGGGCAGCCGUCCCUGAGCUCUGGUGGGGUGUCUAUGUCCGGUGGGCAGUUGAGAUGAAAGAGGGGUCCCCACCCUGCGACAGGCCCCGACCCUCCGACCCGGGACCAGGAGAUGCCCUCCCGGUGACCUGUCUGGGAGCCACCAGCCCCUCUUCUCUGGGCUCCCCUGACUUGCCUGGGGGGGCUUCUCAGAACCCAUGCGUGACCCCCAUCCCAACCCCUGGCAUAGCGGAUGCGUGUCGACUUGGAAGCCCGAGACUCUGGAAUUUGACUGGAGGGGAACUGGCCGAGGCUGGGCGCUGUGCAACCACAGAAACACUGCUGGUCUUUGCUCCUGGAUCUCCGGCGAUUUCUUGGGUGACAAGAGUGUCUGCUGAUAUCGCUGCCCAGCCCUUUCAGGCACACUUGACAGCGUCAGGGAGGGGCCGGUCACCAGAAGGGCCAAGUGGCCAGGGCUGGGAACCCGCUGGGGCGGGAGUGGGGGCUGCAGAUGGGGUUAAGCUCUGGAAUAAUGAUGUCGGGGGGCCCUGGGCUGGUGAACACGAGGGGGCUCGGGCAGGGGACGGCCCUUCCUCCUGGCUGCUCCUGGGCUGUCCUUCGUCAGAAACAAGUCCAUGCGAACACACUUUUCUGUGCAUCGAUCCAGUGAGCUGCUGAACCAGAGCAGGGGCCAGCGGGCGCGCAGGAGUUUCCCAGAGGCAAAGGAGAGCACCGAGUCCCGCCUCCAACUCGCUGCGUGCCCCCCCACGUGUCCCCCGCUCCCACAGGUCCACCAUCCAGAAAACACAGGGAGACAGUUUGCAUCAUCUGAAAGGAAGCGCCAGAGAGCCACGCGCAUACAAAGCACACAUAUUGUCAUAGUGAAAUACACAAAGGCGCACGUGGUUUUAAAACCUCUUCAGCCCAUGUGUCCCCACAGGCCCUGUCCCGAGAGCUUCUCGUGAACACAGACAAGGUCCCUCUCAUGCCCCACCCCCACACCGGGGCUGGGGGCUGAGAUAAGUCGCCCCCAGGGAGACGGUCCAUGACCUGGAGCUGGGACGGCUGAGCCCCGGCGAGGCCAGGCCACCAGCACUGGGCCCUCGGGUCAGCCCGUGCCACACGGAGGCAGGGAAGAGGUGGCGGGGGGACACAGUGGCAGCCGUGGGCCGCUGGCCUCUCCAUUGAGCCGGCUGCAACCUGCCAGCUCAUGACGUGCGGAUUAGCAAAGACGGGAGGCUUUUCAACCUGACCUUGAUUCCAGAGGGAUCGGCACGUGUGCGUGGCCUCCUUUGUCCCCUGUGACGUCACCAUUCUCUGUGCUGACCCAGGGAGGCCACACAGGAUGGGCCAGCCUCCCCGCCAGGGACACUUCCACUUGCCCAGCCCUUGCGUGUGACCCAGAGUUUCCAUCUUUAUUACACUUUUGCUGAAGCUACACGUUCCAGAACCUACUUCCAAUUUGCUGGGCGCCUGAGUCAGGGGCGCCUCCGGGGAAGGCGGGAGUGCCGGGCCCUGCUGGUGCCCCCUCCGCAACCCCGGCCUGCCCCAGGGAAGAGCUCUCAGAAGCUUCAUCCCAGGACAUCGGCCUCCAAGCCUGCUCCCCCGACAGCGACAGCUCUGCGUGUGCCAAGGCGACAGGGGGAGGAUGUGGGCUCGCGUCUGGGGGCGGGGUCAUAACAGACGGAGCAGAAAGCUUUUGCUAGGAAGGGGGUCCUGCAGCCACAGGGCCUCAGAGGUGACCUUCGCCACAGGGCUGACCUGCCAGAACACUGGCCACCAGCCACGGAGCCACAGUGCCCAGCGUGGUUCCGGAAGCUGGGCGUGGGGCAUGAGUCACCUUUCCAGCAAGGGACAUAACGUGAGCAAGUCUUUUAUAUGAAUAAAGAUCACUCAUGAAGGACCAAGGAAUAUUCAAAGGCCGUGUCGUCUCCAAAGAUGAGACCACCCAGCGGGAACGAGCCCAACUGUGGGACACACGGCUUCUGAGACGCGCAGACCUCUGGGCAGUGAGCUGAGCCCUCCUGCCCCCAAAUCCUGUGUUGACACCCUGCCUCCCGUAUGUGGAGGUACUCGGAGGGAGCAGGAGGGACACGUGCCCGGGAAGAGCAUGGAGCCAGGGGUUCCGGUGUGGGGCAUCAGAUCAAGAACCUGACGCAGCCUCCCCGAGGAUGUGGGUUUGAUCCCUGGCCUCGCUCCGCAGGUGAAGGACCUGGCGUUGCACAAGCUGGGGCAAAGGGCGCCCGGCUGGGAUGCGGUGUCGCCGUGGCUGUGGCUGGGCCGGCACCUGUAGCUCCAGUUCCACCCCUAGCCCAGGAACUUCCACAUACUUCAGAUGAGGCUGUAAAAAGAAAAACAGCAACGAAAAAGAGUCCACGCACAGCGGCUCUUUCUGCGGAGGCAUCAGCUAAAGUAUCCCGCGCCAGUCAGAGUCCAUCCCCGGCGUGGGAACGUCCUUUUGCAGUGGAUGCAGCCCUUUAAAGAGAGAGAGAGAGAGAGGAAGAGGAUGGAGCGAGCUCAGGUGCAAGGGCCUGCAAGGGCCUGCACAGCACCACAUGGAACACAAGCGCAGGCUGCCGGUUUCACACCCAUGAGGCUUAAGGAGGCUGAUUUAUGGGUGAGAGGUCAGGAAGAGGGCGGCCUUGGGGGUACAGACCAGCAAGGAGCCUUCCAGGCUGCAGGCGGUGUCCCCGAUCUGCCUGGAGAGGUGGGCGCGUGAGUUGAUGCACACAGGUGAGCAUCCAGCUCAGACUCGCGCACUUGCUGUGAGAUGAACCGAACAACAUCUGGAAGGACCCCAGGCAGUGGGGUCUGAGCUGCCGCCGUGAACUUGAGGGACGCUGCCCUCCGCAGCCCCACUCCUUGAUGAGACAGCACCUUGUCUGAGCGGGGCCGCAACCGUGCACCCCAGUCCUCACGCGGCUGCUUCCUGCACCUCCAGGGUGCACCUCCCGCCGCGGCCACGUGUUGCCUUGGGUUCUGUUGUUUGAGAUUCGGGGGACAGAUUUCAGUGCUGCCUUUAUUCACCUCAGUUCUUUUAAAACUGUGCCUUUUCAUCGUGAUAAAGGACCCUUGAGACUUAGCCUCUUCGGCAUCUUCUAGGGCACAGCUCAGCGGUAUGCAGCCCACCCGCGUGACCGCGGAACGCUCCGUCCUGCCAAAGGGAAACCCUCUCCCGGUUCCGCGGCCGCGCUUCUCCUCCCCGAGCCCUGGCGCCUCCGUCUAAUUUUUGUCCAUGAAUCGCCCUGCUCUCGGGACCUCCUCACACCGCAUUUGUCCCUUUCGGGCUGCUUAUUUCACUCGGCGCCGCGCCCUGGAGAUUCACGGCACGUGCUGCUUCUCCACUGACGCGUUGGUGGACACUUGGGCUGCUUCCACGCUCUAGUUACAGGGAACAAAGCUCCUAUGACCACGCGUGUAAAAAUAUCUCUUUGAGACCCUACUUUCAAUAUUUUGGGUGUACGCCCAGAAGUGGAAUUGCUGGAUCGUAUGGUAAUUCUAUUUUUAACCCUGAGUCAUUUCC